rnacentral:lncRNA from 1 species
AAGUACUGAUAAUGAUUAUCCACUUAAGACUUAUGUAACGACUUUGCAAAAUAGGAAUGAAGAAAAGAGAAAUAAUGCAACUUGACGGUGCAACUAUUGCAAUGUAACCUUUAAAGAUUCUUAUUUUAGAAUAAGAAAUCAUUUAUUGAAAGAAAAGGGAAAUGGAAGAAUUGUUUGUUCGAAAGUGACCAAUGAAUAUUUGGCUGAGAUGAAAG